AUGGAGUAGAAUUGCUAAGGCCAGAGCAAACUAGAUUUGCUACUGCUUUCAUUACAUUGGGAAGGAUUCAUCAGCAGAAGGCCAAUAUUAGAAAAAUGUAUACUUUAGAGAACUGGAAAACUAGUAAAUGAGCUAAAGGGGUAAAAGGCAAAAAGUGUUAAUGAAUAGUUUUGAGUCCUGUCUUCUAGAAUCAUGUUGUAUAUGCUCUUAAGGUUUCUGGUCCUCUUGUUCGUGUGCUUUGACUCGUUGAUAAUGAAAAAAAAACCAGCUACGGGAUAUAUUUAUAAAGCUAUGGAUAGGUUUAAAGAAACCAUUGCCAACUCACUCAAUGACAAUGAAGAGAAAUACAAUAAUAUUUUUGAGAUUAUUGAUGCAAGAUGGUCAGUUCAAUUGCAUCGUCCUUUGCGUGCUGCCGGAUACAUAUUGAAUGCUAAAUUUUUUUAUCCAAGCAAGAUGAGAAUUAAGCAUGAUGAAGAAGUGAAUUUAAGCUUGCUUUUGUGCAUUCAUAAAACGGAACAAGAUUCAAUAAAAGUUGAUAUGAUUAUUGAUGAAAUUGAGAAGUACAAGGCAGCUACGGGGACGUUUAAUUAUCCUUCUGCUAUUAGAGGUAUUAGAGGAAGAACAACAAAAUCUCCAGGUUAUUAAUUUAUAUUUUUAUUAAUUUUUCAUCUUACUCAUUUAUUAAAUUAUAUUAUGAAUUUGAGUUUGACAAUCAUUGAUUCUAUAUUUUAAUAGCUACUUAGUGGAUGUUAUGGAAAGUCAAUCAUUA
rnacentral:misc_RNA from 1 species